rnacentral:rRNA from 1 species
GAUUAACGCCGGCGGCAUGCCUAAUACAUGCAAGUUGAAUGCCUGUAGCAAUACAGAAACAUGGCGAACGGGUGAGUAAUACAUAAGUAACCUGCCCUGAUGAGGGGGAUAACGUUUAGAAAUGAGCGCUAAUACCGCAUAAUCCAAUUUGGAAGAGAUUCUAGAUAGGGAAAGGAUCGCAAGAUCGCAUUAGGAUGGGCUUGUGGAGCAUUAGCUAGUUGGUGGGGUAAAGGCCUACCAAGGCCACGAUGCUUAGCCGACCUGAGAGGGUGAACGGCCACACUGGAACUGAGACACGGUCCAG